rnacentral:rRNA from 1 species
UACGAAGGGGGCUAGCGUUGCUCGGAAUCACUGGGCGUAAAGGGUGCGUAGGCGGGUCUUUAAGUCAGGGGUGAAAUCCGGCAGCUCAACUGUCGAAGUGCCUUUGAUACUGAUUUGCUCGAGGGAGAUAGGGGUCUGCGGAACUUCUGGUGGAGCGGUGAAAUGCGUUGAUAUCAGAAGGAACGCCGGUGGCGAAAGCGGCGGACUGGAUCUCUUCUGACGCUGAGGCGCGAAAGCGUGGGGAGCAAACAGG